rnacentral:tRNA from 1 species
GAGCCUGUAGUCUAACCAGGAUAUAAUAAUUGGCUUCGGACCAAUAGAUGAGGGUUCAAAUCCCUCCAGGCUCA